rnacentral:rRNA from 1 species
AAUAAGCGGAGGAAAAGAAACCAACAGGGAUUGCCUUAGUAACGGCGAGUGAAGCGGCAAAAGCUCAAAUUUGAAAUCUGGCACCUUCGGUGUCCGAGUUGUAAUUUGAAGAAGGUAACUUUGGGAUUGGCUCUUGUCUAAGUUCCUUGGAACAGGACGUCACAGAGGGUGAGAAUCCCGUGCGAUGAGAUGACCAAUCCUAUGUAAAGUGCUUUCGAAGAGUCGAGUUGUUUGGGAAUGCAGCUCUAAGUGGGUGGUAAAUUCCAUCUAAAGCUAAAUAUUGGCGAGAGACCGAUAGCGAACAAGUACAGUGAUGGAAAGAUGAAAAGAACUUUGAAAAGAGAGUGAAAAAGUACGUGAAAUUGUUGAAAGGGAAGGGCUUGAGAUCAGACUUGGUAUUUUGCAUUCCUUACCUUCGUGGUGGGGUUCCUUGCAGUUUACUGGGCCAGCAUCGGUUUGGAUGGUGGGAUAAUGACAUUGGAAUGUGGCUCUGCUUCGGUAGAGUGUUAUAGCCAGUGUUGAUACCGCCUGUCUAGACCGAGGACUGCGUCUUUGACUAGGAUGCGGCAA